UAUAUUCUUACUGGGCCUCUAGGCUUUGUAAGCAAUGGUAAACCAGAAAAAGAAGAGGAAGUCAAGAACCAUUUUUAGGGAAACUAUCUGACUGAAGAAUGAACAGUGUACACAGUAAUCUGAAGUUCAAGAAAAAGCAUUUUCCUUCAUUUCCAGUGAAAGAGUAUUUUGCAAUUUGCUGUGGAGAAGAAAAAAAAGUUAAGAAGUAGAUAUCCCAGCAGCUUUAGACAUAAGUGAUGAAGGUGUAUGGACUGGAUCUUUGCCCUUUUCUCUCAAAAGAGUAAAGUACAAGUUGAACAUAAGCUGAACAUUUACUACAGUGCAGCCCAGGUUUGAAGGAAGGCAACUCCACUCCCAAGAGCAAGGCUUAGAUAGUUUAAAGGGACCUCACCUGUUUCCUUUGUCUCUGUUAUUGGUGAAGCUAUGAUACCUCAGAUUCUCUUGUGGACCCCACUGAAUCAAUGUCUGCAGGCAGCACAGGCUGUCGUUUGAGGUCUUGCACUCUGUCUUCUUCCUCAGCUGUGAUUUCAUCCAGGGAUGGAUAGUGUGAUAAAACUGCGGAUCAUGACUAACUUUUUGAUCCCAUUUUUUAAGCAUGAUGCUCUACCAGACUACUGAGCAAUUGCUUUGAGUGAUCUGAGUCUACAAACCAAGCCAUGGACACAUUUGCACAUGGGCAUGGAUCACUGUCUAUAAAUUAACCCUUGGCGGAUCCUGGUAUGUGAAAUAUGGAUUCCAAAAAGUUAUUAUUAUUAUUUUUUUUAAAAAAUGAGAGCAUAAUCCCACCAGCUCACACUGUGGAUGUGAACAGUGGGUUUUUAUAAAAUUGUAAUUAGCUGGAAAGCGUGGAGAUUAUAGAUGUUUUAUGGAACCAAUACUAUGGAAACUAUAAAUGUAAAACUGUUUCAGUGGCCAUAACAAAUUUUCUGCACUAAAUUAAAUUGUGUCAUAAGAUAGAAGCCAUUAGUUAAGGAAAUAACAUCUAAUGUUUGUUUUUAAAAUGUUUCAGACUGGAAAAACCAAAGUAGUCUAUUUAUAUAUUUUGAAUGGAACUGGGUCUCUGGUAUGGUAGUGGAGCAAGGGUAUAAGAUUAAGGGAGUUGUU